rnacentral:misc_RNA from 1 species
AAGUCGUAACAAGGUUUCCGUAGGUGAACCUGCGGAAGGAUCAUUACCAUAUCCAAAACUUUACCAACCCACCGUGUGAACUGUUUGUAUGCUGUGGCCUACAGCCCGGCAUCCAUUUUUCCAUGUUUCUCCAUAUGUGGAGAAGCAUGGAAGCAUGAUAACGCUUUUGAAACCGACCAUUGAAAACCUGAUGUUGUUUUUCUUCUUCGGGAGAAGAACCAUUGCCAAAAAACCAAUAGACAACUUACAACGGUGGAUCUCUUGGCUCGU